CCUCCUCCCCAUGUCCUACAAAGGGUAACUUAGCUAUUUUUUCUCGAAGAUAGAAUCCACAAGCUGGAUAUGACUCUGGAUUAAGAGAGCCAAGGAUCCCAUCCUUCUUCAAUCUGUUUAUCCUGUCCUUUCCAAUAUGGCCUAGUUUAUGGUGCCAUAAGUACUUCUGGUUAAUUUUGAAGGGAAACAUGGUGGGUGAUGUGCAUGCAUUUUCAAAAAUUUUACAGUGAAACAUACAUAGAUUAAAUAAUCUAAUUUACAAUGCAUGCAUUGAUCAAAUCUAAAUCACCAUAC
rnacentral:lncRNA from 1 species